rnacentral:rRNA from 1 species
GACGAACGCUGGCGGCGUGCUUAACACAUGCAAGUCGAACGGAAAGGCCCCUUUGGGGGUCCUCGAGUGGCGAACGGGUGGGUAACACGUGGGUAACCUGCCCUUGACUUCGGGAUAACUUCAGGAAACUGGGGCUAAUACCGGAUAGGAAUCCUUGCUGCAUGGUGGGGGUUGGAAAGCUUCGGCGGUUUUGGAUGGACUCGCGGCUUAUCAGCUUGUUGGUGGGGUAGUGGCUUACCAAGGCUUUGACGGGUAGCCGGCCUGAGAGGGCGACCGGCCACAUUGGGACUGAGAUACGGCCCAGACUCCUACGGGAGGCAGCAGUGGGGAAUAUUGCACAAUGGGCGGAAGCCUGAUGCAGCAACGCCGCGUGCGGGAUGACGGCCUUCGGGUUGUAAACCGCUUUCAGCAGGGGCGAAGCUUUUGUGACGGUACCUGCAGAAGAAGCACCGGCUAACUACGUG